rnacentral:lncRNA from 1 species
AAAUGUUAUUGAAUGUUAUAGGAACAAUACGUGCAAGGAUUUAUAUAUAAAAACCAUAUAAAUCAAGUUGUAGAUGAAUAGGAGUCUAAAAACAUGUUAAAAUGUGAAAUGAGCCUAGACUGGGUAACCCUAUCACUUGAGUGACUAGCGAUAAAUGGGUAAUAGCUCCAUCGCACGAGCACCAGUCGAGUGAAGAGUCUCGAGAGAAAAUAUGCAGGAGCCACUCGAGCGACCGAC